AAUACAAUCAUUACUUGGCCGAGUUCAUACAGUUUGUGUCUAAGCCUUUCCGAAGUAUCUCUCAGAUAUAUUCAACAUCAUGGCUUUCCUUGAAGUGAAGAUCCUUUUGUCUUGUGUUUUUCUGAUAUACACUAACGUGGAAGCGGCUCCAUCACCAAAGGACCCGUAUCGGCCUCUGGGUCACAUCGAGGCCAGCCCGUUGCAAGUAGUUUCCUAUGAAGAUGGGCAAGGUUGUUCUGAUCUUUUCUUGUUGCUUCAACGACUUUCUCACUUUUACUAAUAGUCAACUCGAAAAUUUCCUUACAGAGAUUACAGAC